CUUCAACAAGGGAAAACUAUUGUUUUCUAGUGAAACAGCAUGAUCAGUACUAAAGCAUUCUGUACAAUCCUGUAACAGUGUAGUUCAUCACGCAGGAUUCGGGUAUAAUAAAAUGAAGCGAUCUAGAAUUAAAAGGACAUGCACCUGUAGAAAACGUCUGUUUCAGGAAUUCUGUUUACUUUCUGUUACACUGGUGCGGACUGAACUGGGAAUAAGCAUUUAAACUUGCUGGCUGCCUGGAAUAACAGCUGAAACUUAAGAGGAUGUUGCCUAGGGUCCUGGAGUCCAGCUGAAAAACAUAUGUGAAGCUAAAGGACAAUUAGAAUGAGGAGAUUGGAAGAUGAGGAGAUAACGCUGAUCUGAUCUGAGCUAAUUAUCCAGUAUCCUGGAAAAGUUUUUUGAAGGUACAAUUCAUUAUUUAUUUAUUUUUGUUUGUUGAGCAAAAGUAAUAAACACACACAAUACGGCUUACAAAACAAAACAAAACAAAACAAACAGAUCUUAUCGAACCUUAUUCCCAAGAAUGAUAGACCUAAUGAUUGGAUACACAAAUGGUGUAUGUUUUUCUACAUUAAGACUCUGAGAACUUUUAGUCCUUUAGGAAAGGAUGCAAAAAAAUUGUACAGAUGUUUAUUUAAACAUGUUUUGAACCCAAAAGGAGAUAUCAUGUUUUUAAUUCACAAGCAACCUUGUGUUUUAUAAGGUUCUCUCUGUUAUUAUGUAGUCUGUGAAUCUCAGUAAACAAUUAAUAAGUGAUAUUAACUAGUUUAAGUAGUUUAUUCUCUGAAUGACUGUGGAAAAAAUUUAAGGGCAUUGACAACAUCUGCAUGAUAAACGUGUACUUAAUUUGUUGAUGCUGUUUCUUUCGGUUGAUGUGAACUCUGGAGUCCACCCACAAUCAUACACACAUAUACUUGAACUUGAGUUUGAACUUAAACAUAAGUCAAGUCAAGUAACAAAUUGUAGGUCUUUUGCCUUAAGUUAAUGGGAAAUAUACUGGAAAUCAUUCACGCUAAACAAAAAGGGAAUAAUAAAAGAACCAGAUGAUCUGUACAAAUUUAUCAUGCCUAAUCUUUUUAUUCUCUAAUAUAACAUUUCUAUGCUGAUAAGAGUGUACAGGAUGACAGUUUGACCAUUCAUAUGACAUCAGACAGGUUGAGUGAAUAGUUUGAGGAGUAUGACAAUGAGGUAAAUCAAAUAUUAUUCAGUCAAACACUUAUGGAAAAUUUUGGAUUGACAUAUUAUUCAGCAUGCUCAUCGCCGCCACCAUCAAAACACGAUUUGAGGAAAUCUUUGGGAUAAAUUAUAUCUGCGAUAUGUAUACUUCCACAGACUUUAGAGCUUUUCAGGGGGUUUAUAGGGACCCACUCACUCAUGCAUUUUUUCAUUUAUGUGCCCCAAGUCACAUUUAGGGUCUACUGGAGAUCCUGAGGAUGUAAUAAAUCUUACUUAUUAGUUAUGGCUCAUGACAUGUUCUAUCUUAUACAUAGAUUUUAUUAGGUAAUAUUUUGCAUGACACUGAAAUUCUGUGGAGAUGGUGAACUUUUAUGGUAUUUUUGCAAUACAUGAUUGAUUGAUUUGUUAGGUAUACCUUUCUCUUCUCUUUAUAUGAAAGUGUAUAUAAUCAGAACAUAUGCUUUAGCCAUUUUCCCCAGUUUAAUUUGACCUAAAUAUCCAAGCAUUGCAUUUUCCAGAUGUCAUGUCUGCUCUUACAGUCACUAACUCCAACUCAUCAAGGGUUGGACAACACAUACAGUAUCUUCAUGACAUCAUUAAACAGAAAUCCACUAUGGCCCUGGUCUUUAAACUCAAAUUACACACAUCUGGAUUCAACAUUUAGUGGGAAGUCUUGCCCCAGCAUUCCCUGGUCAUGUCACUGCUACAUGUGCCUGUGAAAUUUAUAGUACUGACCUUCAGUAAUAUACUUAUUACUUGUUUUGCAUGUUGUAGUUGUAGGAUGGUGGUGUACAUUGACAUCACACUGCUCACAUUUGUUGAUAAUUGGGUCCAGUAUAUAAUCCACAGACAAAUUUGUUUGUACCUCAGUGAGUGGGUGAGCUAACACUGACCCAAAUGCCAGCCCAUUAUUGGGCCUUGUUUUGCUGCUUGUCAAACAUAUAGAUUCGUGUCUGAAAUUGUAUGUAUGUGUGUGGCAAUGUAAAUGACUGCUCUUUAUACAAAUAAAACAAUGGCUAUCUCUGAACAAUUUUGUUGAGCUUAGUUUGAUUGCAUGUUCUCAAUAUUUACUAUCUGACCUGUGGCUUCAACAUAUAGAUUCAUUCUUGGAAUAAACAACUUGAUUGGAAGCAAA